rnacentral:rRNA from 1 species
UGGGGAAUUUUCCGCAAUGCACGAAAGUGUGACGGAGCAAUGCCGCGUGUGGGAUGAAGCGGUUACGCCGUGUAAACCACUGUCAGGUUUUAGAAAGAACUGAUCAGAACCAAAGGAAGGGCCGGCUAAUCUCGUGCCAGCAGCCGCGGUAAUACGAGAGGCCCGAGCGUUGUGCGGAAUCACUGGGCUUAAAGGGUGCGUAGGCGGACAUUCAGGUGUCUUGUGAAAUACCACGGCUCAACCGUGGGAUUGCAGGGCAAACCGGAUGUCUUGAGGCUGGUAGAGGUUGUCGGAACGAUGGGUGGAGCGGUGAAAUGCGUAGAGAUCCAUCGGAACGCCGAAGGUGAAGACAGGCAACUGGGCCAGACCUGACGCUGAGGCACGAAAGCGUGGGGAGCAAACAGGAUUAGAUACCCCGGUAGUCC